UACGAGGGGGGCGAGCGUUGUUCGGAAUUAUUGGGCGUAAAGGGUGCGUAGGCGGUUUGGUAAGUCUGAUGUGAAAAUCUAUGGGCUCAACUCAUAGUCUGCAUCGGAAACUGCCGGGCUUGAGUGUGGGAGAGGUGAGUGGAAUUCCUGGUGUAGCGGUGAAAUGCGGUAAGAUAUCAGGAGGAACACCUGUGGCGAAAAGCGGCUCACUGGACCAUAACUGACGCUGAUGCACGGAAAGCUAGGGGAGCAAACAGG
rnacentral:rRNA from 1 species